rnacentral:rRNA from 1 species
GACGAACGCUGGCGGCGUGCCUAAUACAUGCAAGUAGAACGCUGAAGGAGGAGCUUGCUUCUCUGGAUGAGUUGCGAACGGGUGAGUAACGCGUAGGUAACCUGCCUGGUAGCGGGGGAUAACUAUUGGAAACGAUAGCUAAUACCGCAUAAUAUUGACUAUUGCAUGAUAGUCAGUUGAAAGGUGCAACUGCACCACUACCAGAUGGACCUGCGUUGUAUUAGCUAGUUGGUGGGGUAACGGCUCACCAAGGCGACGAUACAUAGCCGACCUGAGAGGGUGAUCGGCCACACUGGGACGGAGACACGGCCCAGACUCCUACGGGAGGCAGCAGUAGGGAAUCUUCGGCAAUGGACGGAAGUCUGACCGAGCAACGCCGCGUGAGUGAAGAAGGUUUUCGGAUCGUAAAGCUCUGUUGUAAGAGAAGAACGAGUGUGAGAGUGGAAAGCUCACACUGUGACGGUAUCUUACCAGAAAGGGACGGCUAACUACGUG